rnacentral:ncRNA from 2 species
GGGGUCGAGGGGCGCUGCGACGGGCCGAUCAGGUCCGCCACGCUCGACCACUGGCCGUUGCAGAAGGGCGCCCUCACCCA